UUCUCUUUUCUUUUUUUUUUGUUUUUUUGUUUUUUGAGAGAUAGAUAGCACACUACCCGUUUCGUUUAUUUUAUUUAGAAAUAAACUUAGCUGGAAAUGUGAAUCAACUAGGAUUCGAACCUAGGUCUCGAGCACCAACCACCAAGCCCUUUGCCAUUUGCUCUAUGGACGGUUGGUCCCUUUCUCUUUUUAUAUAGAUAUAAAAUAAAGUUAUUAAGUUUUCCAAAGCAUAAAAAGUGUAGUAUUUUUGACUUUUUGGUCUGUACGUUAAUUUCUUUAAUUAUUUAUAAUUUUUAAAUUAAUAUUAUUUUUCUGUGGGAACGACUCAAUUCUAAGAGAAUCACUCAACUCUAGAAAGAAUUACUAUCAUCCCAACUAUAUAAUUCUAAAUACUAAAAAGUCGGAAGGACAAACACUCUUAUGCUUCCGAAAGUAUAAUAGCAUUACACUAUAUAUAUAUAUAUAUAUAUAUAUAUAUAUAUAGAGAGAGAGAGAGAGAGAGAGAGAGAGAGAGAGAGUAAAUUUUAUGUACUAUUAGGAGCACAGAAUAAAUAUAGAAUUGGACUGGAAUAUUAUUAAUAAUAUUUGGGCUUAUUUGCUAUCAAGUUUUUAACCAUUGAAUGAAAAAAUAUAGGAUUAAGAUGAUAGUAGUACUCUAGAGUUUAAUAGUAGUUUUUUUAAGGGUUAAGUGAGUGUUGGUUGAAUAGUAUGAUUUACAGGAUAAAAUUGAUUAAAGUGUAUAUCUGACGGUUAAAAAAUCCAUAGCAAAAGAGUCCGAAUAUUAUUAAUAAUAUUCCAGCUCAACUAUAUAUAGAGAGAGAGAGAGAGUUGGGGUAGAAUACUAUUGAUAGCAAAAGGUCUUAUUUGCUAUCAAGUUUUUAGCCUUUGAAUCAAUUGUUUUUAUCAUUUCUAACCAUUGGAUUAAAUAUUAUAACCUAGUGGGACCACUCAACCCUAAGGGAUUAAUAUUAUCCUAACCCUAUAAUUUUUCAUUCAAGAGUUAAAAACUUGAUAGUAAUUUUUUUUUUUUAUUAUCAAUAGUAUUCCAGCCUAGCUCUCUCUCUCUCUCUCUAUAUAUAUAUAGAAUUAGGCUAGAAAACUAUUAAUAGCACCAAGUUAUUGGUGCUAUUAAGUUUUCGGCCCUUGGAUGAAAGAAUGUACUGUUAGGAUAAUAGUGGUAUCCUAGGGUUGAGCGGGUGGUUGGUUGAAUAGCAUGAUCUAGCGGGUGAAUAUGGUCAACGGGGUUGAUCCAACGGAAGAAAACUUGAUAGCACCAAGUUCUUAAUGCUAUUGAUAUUAUUGUACCCGAACUAUAUAUAUAUAUCUAGAGAGAGAGAGAGAGAGAGGGCUAGGUUGGUAUACUAUCGGUAGCACGGAGGCCUCCGUACUAUCGGGUUAUUUUUAAUGAUCGAUAUAGCUUACAAAUUAAUGAUCGACUCCAUUAUACUUGAUCUGUACCCUC
rnacentral:lncRNA from 1 species